AUUGAACGCUGGCGGCAUGCUUUACACAUGCAAGUCGAACGGUAACAGGCCUUCGGGUGCUGACGAGUGGCGAACGGGUGAGUAAUGCAUCGGAACGUGCCCAGAGGUGGGGGAUAACGCAGCGAAAGCUGUGCUAAUACCGCAUGUGAUCUGAGGAUGAAAGCGGGGGACCAGGCAGCAAUGUUUGGCCUCGCGCCUUUGGAGCGGCCGAUGUCAGAUUAGGUAGUUGGUGGGGUAAAGGCCUACCAAGCCGACGAUCUGUAGCUGGUCUGAGAGGACGACCAGCCACACUGGGACUGAGACACGGCCCAGACUCCUAGGGGAGGCAGCAGUGGGGAAUUUUGGACAAUGGGCGCAAGCCUGAUCCAGCAAUGCCGCGGGCGGGAAGAAGGCCUUCGGGUUGUAAACCGCUUUUGUACGGAACGAAAAGGCUCUGGCUAAUACCGGGGGCUGAUGACGGGACCGUAAGAAUAAGCACCGGCUAACUACGU
rnacentral:rRNA from 1 species